GCCAAGUGUAGAACAAGCCUUGCCUAAUGUGUUCCACACAAACUUCGUUACUGCCCAAACAGAUGACUGUGAUUAGCAGCUAUUGUGUGACGAGCUGAUGCCAGCGUGACGUCUCAACAAGGAAAACCACGCUAGUCAAUGCUGCUGGUAUAAGAGCACCAGGGAGCAGAGCGCAGUACCAGCCGCCGGGACAGCAGCAACUGAACACUAGCUUCCAGACGCAGCGAACAUGAAGCUGAUUGUCGCGCUCUUCCUGUGCCUUGUCGUGAUGGUAGCCUUCGCGGCAGCUGUCCCUGCUCCGGAGGUGAUCAUGAACCCCGUCGUGACCGAGGCUUCGGCUCAGGCGAUCAACAACUCGACCGGGCUCCCUGAUGGCGUUGAUGAUCGCUGGCGAGCAUGUGUUUGCUACAACAGGGGCUGAUAAACUCAUCACCUUCUGCAAAUGGUUAUUGAAGCAUAACACUUCUGACUAUUGAAAAAAUCUGUCCUGUUUUGGAUAAUAAAACUAAUGGCUUAAAAA